rnacentral:ribozyme from 1 species
UCUGAUGCGGGUGAGGAAGGUCCGGACGACAAAGGCCCUGGCGAUGACUACUGCGCGUGUGACUUUGUCGGCACAGAGAAAAACGCGAUCUGCUUGGAUUUUGCGGGGCCGAUUCCGGGAGUCGAUAAUGAGGUGCUGUGCUCGCCCAAGGCUU